rnacentral:rRNA from 1 species
GGCAGUGUAGAAGCCGUCUGUGCCGGAGCAAACGCGAUAAGUUCACCGCCUGGGGAGUACGGUCGCAAGGCUAAAACCCAAAGGAAUUGACGGGGGCCCGCACAAGCAGCGGAGCGUGUGGUUUAAUUCGAUGCAACGCGAAGAACCUUACCUGGGCUUGACAUGUACGUAGUAGUGAAGGGAAACCGGAACGAGCCUUCGGGCAGCGUAGACAGGUGCUGCAUGGCUGUCGUCAGCUCGUGUCGUGAGAUGUUGGGUUAAGUCCCGCAACGAGCGCAACCCGUGUUGCUAGUUACAAGUGUCUAGCGAGACUGCCGGUAACAAGCCGGAGGAAGGUGCGGAUGAUGUCAAGUCAGCAUGGCCUAUAUGUCCAGGGCUACACACACGCUACAAUGGCUGGUACAAAGAGAAGCGAAAGGGAGACCUGAAGCGAAUCUCAUCAAAGCCAGUCAUAGUUCGGAUUGCAGGCUGCAACUCGCCUGCAUGAAGUCGGAGUUGCUAGUAACCGCAGGUCAGCAAUACUGCGGUGAAUACGUUCCCGGGCCUUGUACACAC